CAAAUUUGUAGUCAUCAUAAACUGUGCUCUCUGGGUUCUCUUCCAGUUCUUCAGUCAAGUUGUCCAAGAAAGAACACCAUUUUGGGGCAGGUCCCAAAACUGGCAUAUAGUAGAUAUUCAUUCUAGGGGCUUCAUUGGCAGUCAUUAGCAUUCCAGAAUUUGGAUAAAGACAGACAUCAUUGAUAUCAUAUUCUGGCUCCAUUGAAGUAAAUAUCUUCCCUGUAUCUUUGUUCCACAUCUUUAUGAUUCUAGAAUCUGCAGAGAUUAUUAAAUCCAACUGAUGCUGAAACUGAAUUGACUUAAUAGGCAGGCCAUACUGGUGAUCUUUGACUAUCAGUGGGUUACUAGACCGAAGGUCAU
rnacentral:lncRNA from 1 species